GAUGAACGCUGGCGGCGUGCCUAAUACAUGCAAGUCGAGCGAACGGACGAGAAGCUUGCUUCUCUGUUGUUAGCGGCGCACGUGUGAGUAACACGUGGAUAACCUACCUAUAAGACUGGGAUAACUUCGGGAAACCGGAGCUUAUACCGGAUAAGAUUUUGAACCGCAUGGUUCAUAGGUGAGAUACGGUCUUGCUGUCACUUAUAGAUGGAUACGCGCUGCAUGAGGUAGUUGUUAAGUUAACGGGCUACCAAGGCAACGAGGCGUAGCCGACCGGAGAGAGUGGUCGGCCACCCGGGAGGUGGGACACGGUCCAGACUCCUACGGGAGGCAGCAGUCGGGAAUGUUCCGCAAUGGGCGAGAGCCUGACGGAGCAACGCCGCGUGAGUGAUGACGGUCUUCGGAUCGUAAAACUCUGUUAUUAGGGAAGAACAGAUGUGUACGUAACUGUGCACAUCUUGACGGUACCUAAUCAGAAAGCCACGGCUAACUACGUG
rnacentral:rRNA from 1 species